rnacentral:rRNA from 1 species
UACGAAGGGGGCUAGCGUUGCUCGGAAUCACUGGGCGUAAAGGGUGCGUAGGCGGGUUUUUAAGUCAGAGGUGAAAUCCUGGAGCUCAACUCCAGAACUGCCUUUGAUACUGAAAGUCUUGAGUAUGGGAGAGGUGAGUGGAACUGCGAGUGUAGAGGUGAAAUUCGUAGAUAUUCGCAAGAACACCAGUGGCGAAGGCGGCUCACUGGCCCAUAACUGACGCUGAGGCACGAAAGCGUGGG